GCCGCGUGAGUGAUGAAGGUUUUCGGAUCGUAAAGCUCUGUUGCCAGGGAAGAACGCUAUGGAGAGUAACUGUUCCAUAGGUGACGGUACCUGAGAAGAAAGCCCCGGCUAACUACGUGCCAGCAGCCGCGGUAAUACGUAGGGGGCAAGCGUUGUCCGGAAUUAUUGGGCGUAAAGCGCGCGCAGGCGGUCAUGUAAGUCUGGUGUUUAAACCCGGGGCUCAACUCCGGGUCGCAUCGGAAACUGUGUGACUUGAGUGCAGAAGAGGAAAGUGGAAUUCCACGUGUAGCGGUGAAAUGCGUAGAGAUGUGGAGGAACACCAGUGGCGAAGGCGACUUUCUGGGCUGUAACUGACGCUGAGGCGCGAAAGCGUGGGGAGCAAACAGGAUUAGAUACCCUGGUAGUCUACGCCGUAAACGAUGAAUGGCUASGUGUUAGGGGUUUCGAUACCCUUGGUGCCGAAGUUAACACAUUAAGCAUUCCGCCUGGGAGAGUACGGUCGCAAGACKGAAACUCAAAGGAAUUGACGGGGACCCGCACAAGCAGUGGAGUAUGUGGUUUAAUUCGAAGCAACGCGAAGAACCUUACCAGGUCUUGACAUCCCUCUGACCGUCCUAGAGAUAGGGCUUCCCUUCGGGGCAGAGGUGACAGGUGGUGCAUGGUUGUCGUCAGCUCGUGUCGUGAGAUGUUGGGUUAAGUCCCGCAACGAGCGCAACCCUUAACUUUAGUUGCCAGCAUUGAGUUGGGCACUCUAGAGUGACUGCCGGUGACAAACCGGAGGAAGGUGGGGAUGACGUCAAAUCAUCAUGCCCCUUAUGACCUGGGCUACACACGUACUACAAUGGCUGGUACAACGGGAAGCGAAGCCGCGAGGUGGAGCGAAUCCUAAAAAGCCAGUCUCAGUUCGGAUUGCAGGCUGCAAC
rnacentral:rRNA from 1 species